rnacentral:lncRNA from 1 species
ACUUUCUUGAAGGUUAUUUGAACAUGUUUUAGGGUUGCAUCUUGAUUUAUCUGUAGUGCUUUUGAACCAUAUCGCUCUGCAUGUUUUCUCGGGCCACACACUCACUGGGAGCACGGCAGGGGGAUGAAAGCGAGACCCUUGGUGAGUUUCUUAACCUCCAAGUUGCCUCUGUUUCCUCAUCGGUGAAGAUGAAGCUAAUCAUGCAAAGGGUGUGGAGGUACCAACAGACAUUAGCUCUGAUGAUGGUGGUUUCUGAGCUGAGGAUGCAGACAUGUGUGUGUCCCCAGGGUGCUCCCUGCCUGAGGGUGGGCUCCACACUCACUCUUCGAAGCAGGCUACAGGGUGCUCCCUGCCUGAGGGUGGGCUCCACACUCACUCUCCGAAGCAGGCUACAGGGUGCUCCCUGCCUGAGGGUGGGUUCCACACUCACUCUCCGAAGCAGGCUACAGGGUGCUCCCUGCCUGAGGGUGGGCUCCACACUCACUCUCCGAAGCAGGCUACAGGGUGCUCCCUGCCUGAGGGUGGGCUCCACACUCACUCUCCGAAGCAGGCUACAGGGUGCUCCCUGCCUGAGGGUGGGCUCCACACUCACUCUCCGAAGCAGGCUGGCAUUCUUGUUAGUUGGCAGAUGAGAACACUUGGCUCAAGGAGCUUAAAUGACACCCAAGGGCACACAGAGCCAGGGCCUGGCUGCAUUGCUGUGGGCACCUCCCACACUGCCCUGUGCACACUUCAGCCUUACAGGCCAAAGCACCAAAGAUCUGCUACUGGGUCCUUUAUCUCAGCAAAGAGCCUACCAUUCCUUCCGUCCGCCGCAUCCUCUGCAGGGUGGCAUUUGUCCACUUCCUUUGGUCCUCCUGCCACUGCCUUGGCCAGGCCAGCAUCGUCUCUCCCCUGGCCCCCAUCACCAUGCUUGCCACUGUGCUGUGCCCCUGCCCAGCCUAGUCACUCCUCACAACACUACGCUGCCUCAGGAGCCAAUCUAGCAUUUAACAUGGCUUAGAUCUGGGCCUCUCAAAUUUAAGCAGGCAACAGAACCACGUGGAGGCUGUUAAAACAGUGCUGGGCUCCAUUCCCAGUACUGGAUUCAGUAGGUCUAGGAUGGGGCCCGAGUUUGCAUUUUAAACAAAUUUCCAGCAGAUGCUGGUACUGCAGGGCCAGGGAGCACACUUUGAGAACCACUGACCUAGGUGCUGGCCUCCCGAAUGAGCUCCUGCCAAGGCCUCUGGGGCUCACCUGAGCCACCUCACCCCUCAGGGAUGGGAAGCCCAAUGAUGCCAGGAUGUUCCGGGGUGGCCAGGGCCGAGCACCAUCGGCCUUACCAGCUGGCACCCAGUAAUUGGCUCAAGAACCACCUAUGGAAGGAGAUGCUGGAGGGCUCGUUACCUGGUUGGUCUUUUAGCUGUGGGACCGGGGGAGUACCUCAAGGGCUGGCUCUGUGUCCAAUUCAUUCCUGGGAAAUGUCAGCCAUUCACCAAAACGUCACUCAGAGAAGAGCCAUCACCCAGCCCCCGCCUGGCAGGGCAGUUCAUAAGCAAGUGGAGACCCCAUGUGUCUACGUGAAUCAAAGGAAAAGGCUGUACGGAGGCACACACCAGGGCUCUGGGGGGUGGGGAUGGAAAAUCCCGGGCAGCAGGGGCACUGGGUCACACCUGGACUUGAGGCUAGAGCUGCUGGUCUUCAAGGGAAGGGACAGGAACUCAGAGCAGGGGGUGAGGGCUGGGGGGCAGGACAGACUGACAGCCUGUCCUGUGUGCCUUGCAUACGCCAGGCCCACUACUGGUCUCUAUGCUAGUUAUCUAAGGAAAACUCAGGAGGUGGCUGCUGUUCUCUCUACAGACAAGGAUGUAGGCUCAAGGAGUGGGUCCAGCUCAGGUCUCCAUAGCCAGGUGGUGUGAAGCCCGGGUGAUGACAAAGUCCUCGGUCCCGGCAGCAAGGGCAUUUCAGGGAGCCACUGGUGACACCCUUACACCCUUCCCACAUCAACACAGAGGAACUGAGGCCAGAGAGGACUUGACAGGACUUGUCUCCACUCCCAGUCAGCCAGGCUUGGAGCUGGCCAGAACCGCCCUCCGCCUAGGCCAGGGUACUGAGUGGCAAGCACCCUUGCUUGCAGGUAGAUGACCUAACCCUGACACCAAGCCAGGAACCCAGGGCUUGGGAAACUACAAAUAAGACCACAGAGACUGAGGCCUCGGUGGGCUUGUAGGUGGAGAGCCCUCCCUCAGGCCAGUGUCUACUGCGCUCAGCUCCGGCCCUCCUCAGGGCAGGGUUUUCAGAGACCAGGUUCCUCCUCUGAAACCUCAGCCUGUGGCUCUCUGUGCCUUCAUCCCCGCAGCUGGCAUGGAAAUAAUGAUCUGACCUCCCAGGGGAGGCGGCCCCACGGGCGUGAUGGUGACACCCUGUGGGGGGCAGCCUGGGUAACAUGCAGAGUGCCGAGGGGUAGGCCUGAGCUCAAAUCUGGCUUCUGCCCUCACCGAGCCAUGUGAUCCCAUCCUGGCUACUCCCAUACCUGAGCUGGAGUUUCUUCAGCAGUAGGACCAGGGUGCCGAGGGGACAACAGAACUCCCUCUGAUGAGGGAUCACCCUGCAGCCUCAAGAGGCUCAAAUGCAGAAAGCAGCCCCUGGUGUCACAGUGUACACAGCCUGGAGGCGGCCCAGCAAAACCUGCGGUCCCUUUCCCACGGACCAGAGGUCUCAGACACAGGACCCUUAGGUUGGACACAGUUCUCAGACAUGUUUUAAAAACAAUCCAUGUUCACAAUCCAUUUUUAAAAACAUUCUGAUUAAUUGCCAACAUUUAAAAAUCCAGGAGAUUUUAUAUAAAGGUCUGGAUUUCUGGUUCAUCUUGAAAAUUGGACAGUCAGGUCAUACCAAGUCCACAUUUCACACAGUGACAAAGAUUGGAGCUGAGCGGCUCCCUGGCCCGCCUCACUCAUUCCAUUUCCCCCCUGAUCCUUGGAAGCAUGUGGGUUUCCAAUGCCUGGAGCUAGACUGAGCACCCACAGGCUGCAGCAGUGCAUGGACCCAUCUUUGCUAAAUUUUCUCUCCCACAGCCAAGACUGCAAGCUGAGCAGGCCAUGGAGCCCAUGAGCCGAGGACCAGGGCUUGGGGUUUUCCCAGGGGACUGAGGCAGCCCUUUGCUGCUUGGUCUCACCGGAGAAAAUGGAGGGAGGGAGGAAGUGAAGAAGGGAGGGAGAAAGCUGGCCCCAUCCUAUAAUGCAUCUGGGGGAGCAAGAAUGUGGCUGAUUUAGCUGGAAGAAGGAAAAAUGUACCAAGACCCGAAAGACAGGGAAUGUCCUCACUGGAGGAAAGUGAAGGAAGAAGGCUCUACAGUUCUUCUCCUGGGUUACAAGAGAAGUUAGCUAGCAGGCAGAGAGGAGCUUUGCCCCCAGAGAAGCCUGCAGUGUAGACUCAGCUCUGCCACUUACUGGUAGUGUGACCUUGGGCAAGUCACUCACCUCCCUGAGCCUCCCUUUAGAGUCUUCAUCUCUAAAAUGGGGAUAAUAAACUUACCUUGCGCAACUGUUGUAAAAAAAAAUUAGGAGAUAAUGGAUGCAGAGCACUCAACACAGGUCUCACAGAGCAGGAAGGGAAUGAAAGGCACCCGUGAGUAAUUCCCCAGGCGCCCCUGCCUGCAGGAGACUCAGGCCUGACCUCCAGGGCACCACCCAUCUAAGGGCAUCUUAUGCCAAGGCCUCCAAUGCCCCAGAUGCCAGUCACCUCUAGGAUGCCUCCCCGGAUGGGAAAGGAAACCCAAGGACGGUUGUGGUCGCUGGGAUCCUGGAUCUGAAGCCCGCGGUCGGGGCUGGCAUCUGCUGAGUCAGGCCUGGGAGAGCUGGCAGGAGGGCCAUUUCUCUCUCCAGCAUGAU